rnacentral:rRNA from 1 species
AGAGUUUGAUCAUGGCUCAGGACGAACGCUGGCGGCGUGCUUAACACAUGCAAGUCGAACGGUGAAGCCCAGCUUGCUGGGUGGAUCAGUGGCGAACGGGUGAGUAACACGUGAGCAACCUGCCCUCCACUUCGGGAUAAGCCUUGGAAACGGGGUCCAAUACCGGAUAUGAGCACUCACUGCAUGGUGGGUGUUGGAAAGUUUUUCGGUGGGGGAUGGGCUCGCGGCCUAUCAGCUUGUUGGUGGGGUAAUGGCCUACCAAGGCGUCGACGGGUAGCCGGCCUGAGAGGGCGACCGGCCACACUGGGACUGAGACACGGCCCAGACUCCUACGGGAGGCAGCAGUGGGGAAUAUUGCACAAUGGGCGAAAGCCUGAUGCAGCGACGCCGCGUGAGGGAUGACGGCCUUCGGGUUGUAAACCUCUUUCAGCAGGGAAGAAGCGAAAGUGACGGUACCUGCAGAAGAAGCGCCGGCUAACUACGUGCCAGCAGCCGCGGUAAUACGUAGGGCGCAAGCGUUGUCCGGAAUUAUUGGGCGUAAAGAGCUCGUAGGCGGCUUGUCGCGUCGGUUGUGAAAGCCCGGGGCUUAACCCCGGGUCUGCAGUCGAUACGGGCAGGCUAGAGUUCGGUAGGGGAGAUCGGAAUUCCUGGUGUAGCGGUGAAAUGCGCAGAUAUCAGGAGGAACACCGGUGGCGAAGGCGGAUCUCUGGGCCGAUACUGACGCUGAGGAGCGAAAGCGUGGGGAGCGAACAGGAUUAGAUACCCUGGUAGUCCACGCCGUAAACGGUGGGCACUAGGUGUGGGCAACAUUCCACGUUGUCCGUGCCGCAGCUAACGCAUUAAGUGCCCCGCCUGGGGAGUACGGCCGCAAGGCUAAAACUCAAAGGAAUUGACGG